UACGAAGGGGGCUAGCGUUGCUCGGAAUCACUGGGCGUAAAGCGCACGUAGGCGGAUUGCUAAGUCAGGGGUGAAAUCCUGGAGCUCAACUCCAGAACUGCCCUUGAUACUGGCGGUCUCGAGUCCGGGAGAGGUGAGUGAAACUGCGAGUGUAGAGGUGAAAUUCGUAGAUAUUCGCAAGAACACCAGUGGCGAAGGCGGCUCACUGGCCCGGUACUGACGCUGAGGUGCGAAAGCGUGGGGAGCAAACAGG
rnacentral:rRNA from 1 species